rnacentral:hammerhead_ribozyme from 1 species
AUUCAGCUGACGAGUCUCAAAUAGGACGAAAUGCACGUCCUGUAU